UACGUAGGGUGCAAGCGUUAUCCGGAAUUAUUGGGCGUAAAGAGCUCGUAGGCGGUUUGUCGCGUCUGCUGUGAAAACCCGAGGCUCAACCUCGGGCCUGCAGUGGGUACGGGCAGACUAGAGUGCGGUAGGGGGAGAUUGGAAUUCCUGGUGUAGCGGUGGAAUGCGCAGAUAUCAGGAGGAACACCGAUGGCGAAGGCAGAUCUCUGGGCCGUAACUGACGCUGAGGAGCGAAAGCGUGGGGAGCGAACAGG
rnacentral:rRNA from 1 species